rnacentral:rRNA from 1 species
CAAGUCGAACGGGAUUUUCUUUGGUAGCAAUACCAAAGAAAAUCUAGUGGCGAACGGGUGCGUAACACGUGGGCAAUCUGCCNNUAAAGUGGGGGAUAGCUCGGCGAAAGCCGGAUUAAUACCGCAUGUGAUUACCGGAGAAUUCUUCGGAACAUCAAAGUCGGGGCAACCUGACGCUUUUUGAGGAGCCCGCGGCCUAUCAGCUAGUUGGUGAGGUAACGGCUCACCAAGGCUUUGACGGGUAGCUGGUCUGAGAGGACGACCAGUCACACUGGAACUGAGACACGGUCCAGACACCUACGGGUGGCAGCAGUCGAGAAUUUUUCUCAAUGGGGGAAACCCUGAAGGAGCGACGCCGCGUGGAGGAUGAAGGUCUUCGGGUUGUAAACUCCUGUCAUUUGGGAACAAUGCUUACGUAUUAACUGUAUGUGAGUUGAUAGUACCAGAAGAGGAAGAGACGGCUAACUCUGUGCCAGCAGCCGCGGUAAUACAGAGGUCUCAAGCGUUGUUCGGAUUCAUUGGGCGUAAAGGGUGUGUAGGUGGCGCGCUAAGUCGGGUGUGAAAUUUCGGAGCUUAACUCCGAAACUGCAUUCGAUACUGGCGUGCUUGAGGACUGGAGAGGAGACUGGAAUUCAUGGUGUAGCAGUGAAAUGCGUAGAGAUCAUAAGGAAGACCAGUGGCGAAGGCGGGUCUCUGGACAGUUCCUGACACUGAGACACGAAGGCCAGGGGAGCAAACGGGAUUAGAUACCCCGGUAGUCCUGGCAGUAAACGGUGCACGUUUGGUGUGGGAGGAUUC